GUUUUUAACUGAGCUUGGACCAUCCGGCCCCUCGCUGCCCUUACUCCUCUUGUUCCGGCGGACACGUCUGCCUUCUCCCACGUGCAGCUUUUCUUCGGGGUGGAAGAAGUUCAGCAAGGCCAGCUGCUGCCGCCGUUCGCCGCUCUCCGCGGGGCGCUGCGGGCGGACGGCGGGCGGAGCUCCGGGAGCGGCGGCCGCCGCCGUUCCGUCGCGUCUCGGCGGGGCCGCGGGUUGAGGGCCGCGGUCGCGGCGGAGCUCGGAGCGCAGCUCCAGGUAGCAGCCGAGGGUGAGGACGUGCAGAGCCAGCGAGAGGGCGAAGAAGCCGAGGAACAGGCGCCAGCUCCCGGCGCCGGCACAGGAGCAGCCGCCGCGGGCCGCCUCCCCCCUGCGCUCCGCACCCAUGGCCGCGGGACGGAGCGGCGGCGGCUCCGCUACUGCUCCAUGCUCGGCCGGGGAGCGACGGGGCGCCGGGGGCAGAGCGGCCGGGGCCGCCCCACCGCCACGCCAGGGGGC
rnacentral:lncRNA from 1 species